GCUCUUGUGGGAUCAAGGAUAUGCGGACUUGAGAUUCCUUUCCUGCUGAUUUUGAUUACCAAUUUUAGCUGGUUGUACUGGUUGAGAAGGUUAUAUGUGGCAAUCAAAAUAUCUCAAUUUCUUCCAAUUGGAAGAUUGUUUCUGAUCCCAUUCUACCUACUUGCCUUAGAGACUGUACUAUGGAUUCAAUCAUAUUUAACAGGGGCUCUAGUGUUUGUUCGACACAGUAUUAUUGCCGCAUUCUCCCAGCGAGGCAGUGGCUAACCUCUCCACUAUCUUCAAAUUUUUUGGUUAUAAAUAUGGGUUCCUGGAAUGCUGGUUUCCUUCCCCAGCAGGGACUAAAGGAGCCAACAAUGGAAAGUUAAAGAGAAUGGACUGGAUAUGAAGAAGCAGAAGUGAAGACUAUGGCUCUAUAUAUAUAUUUUUUUGAAAUGUGAAUUUCGCUUGAGAACUUUGUGUCGCGAUAUGACAACGAGAGGUCUAACAUAUGUUGUCUUAACCGGGUCCCCGUUAGAGAGCUCCCUCGAAGUAGAAAUGUCUGUUUUAAA